rnacentral:rRNA from 1 species
CCUCUGUGUUACGGGAUGAAUUGAGCGUUGCUGAUAACGCAGCGUUUUUGACGUUAGAGAAGAAAGCCCCAGCUAACUACGUGCCAGCAGCUGCGGAAAACGUAGGGGCAAGCGUUGUCCGGAAUCACUGGGCGUAAAGCGCGCGCAGGCGGUGGAAUAAGUCAGACGUGAAAGGGUUCGGCUCAACCGAGCCAUUGCGUUUGAUACUGUUUCACUUGAGUCUAGAAGAGGAAAGUGGAAUGUAUGGUGUAGCGGUGGAAUGCUUAGAUAUCAUAUAGAACACCCGUGGCGAAGGCGGCUUUCUGGUCUAAGACUGACGCUCAUGCGCGAAAGUUUGGGGAGCAACCGGGAUUAGAUACCCCGCUAGUCCUUACUGUAAACGAUGGGUACUAAGUGUAGGGGGCGCCGACUCCCUCUGUGCUGUAGCUAACGCAUUAAAUUACCCCGCGCUGGGGAGUACGGCCCCCCCCGCUAAAACUUCAAGGUAAUUUGACGGGGGGCCGCACAAGCGAUGGGAUCAUGUUCGCUUUAAUUCGACGCAACGCGAAAAAACCUUAUCCAGGGCUUGACAUC